CUUUUUUCUCCUUCCAAUACUAGUUUUCAUCAAUUAGUUCAGCAACCAUUGCAUGAGGAUCCAUUAUUGGUGGUGAGAAAGGCUCAAAAGUUUCAAGUCUUGGUAGCCAAUUGCUUUUGUAGAUGUACACUUGAUUUCCAGUGCCUAUUCUCUACUUUUGUCCUCUAUGCAAAAUUUGUCUUCCCUAUAGAACACUUCUCCAUACAAAGGAUGGAUUCGAUCACAAUUUUGUCUCCAUGAAAUUGGAAUGUUUAAAAUACUUUGCCUUCAAAAUUCUUGACAUUAUUGAUUCUGGAUGCCGAAUAAUUCUCCAUCCUUUUUUCGUAACUAAGGUUUGGUUGAAACUUAAAAAAAUCUCAAAAUCCGGACCUUCCUCUUGUCUCUGCAUGACAAAGUUUCUGCCAUUUGACCUAAUGAAUACUUCUACGAUCUACUUUUGACCUCCACCAAAAUCUAGCUAUAGUUUUUCGAAUGUUUUCACAAAUGCUUAGAUGAAGUUUGAACACACUCAUUGCAUUUGCUGAAACCGCUUGGGCCAUUGCCUUGGUAAGCACUUUCCUACCCCUACUUGAGAAUAGCUUACUUGGCCAAUUUGAGAGCUUGUUCAAAACUCUCAUUUUUAUAUGAUUCAAUAAGCUAACUUUUUUUCUUUCCACCAUAAAUGGUAAGCCAAGGUACUUGUCAUACUUUGAGAUUACAUUUAGUUGAAAAAUACCCUUGAUUGUAUCCAUCUGGCCAGCUUGUACAUUGCUACUGAAGAACAUGGAGGACUUUUCAAAACUAAAAAUCUAGCCCGAUGUCAAAGCAUAAUAGACAAAUAUGCUUUUUAGGUUUUUACAGGCUUCACUUGUUGCUCUUGUAAGCAUCAAGUUGUCAUUUGCUAACAGUAAAUGUGUAAUUGAUAGGUUGUUGUUAAACUUUAAGCUAUGCAUGAUCUGGUUUCUCUCAGCUUGCACAAGCAUGUUGGAUAAGGCUUCGGCACAUGAAAGAAAAAGAUACGGUGAUAAAGGGUAGCCUUAUCUCAAUCUCCUUUGAGGUUGAAUUUGACCCUUUGGCACCCCAUUGAUCAACACUGAAAAAGAGGUAAUAAAGAUGCAUUUCAUUGUUAAGUCAAUCCAAUUAGGAGAGAAGCCUAACUUCUGCACGGUGCACCUAAAAAAUUUCUAUUCUACCCAAUCAUAUGCUUUACUGAUGUCUAGUUUUAAAGCAAACAAACUUCUUUUGUUCUCCCAUCUCUGUCUUAUCUUAUUAAAACAUUCAUAACCAAUGAUUAUGUUGUCUGUAAUAAGUCCAUUUGGGAUAAAGCACUUUGGUUCGAGGAUAUAAUUUUAUCUAGGACGCGCUUCAACCUAUUAGCCAUUAUUUUUGUGAUAAUUCUAUAAAUAACAUUACAGAGCUUAUUGUUUGAAAUUCAUUCAUUGACCUAGGCUUCUUAAUUUUUGGAAUUAAAGUAAUAUAGUUGUGAUUGAGAGAUGUUAUGUUACCUUUCUCAUUAAAGACGUGCAAAUAAUAGGUGGUUAUCACUCUUUCUUUCACUUAAUUCUAAUGCUUUUGAAAGAAAACUAUAGGCAAGCCAUCUGGUCCAAGGCUUUUGUGGGACAUAUCUAAGCCAGUGCUUUUGGGACUUCUUUUUAAGUAAAUGUUGUAUCCAAUUAAUUGUUCAUCUCUCUAUUCACCUUAACUAGCAUAUCUCUAAGAACUACAUCCAUUUGACUUGUGGUAGGGUUUGUUGUUGUAAAGACAUAUGUGAAGUAUUCAUAAAAUAACCUCUCCACAUCACUGUUAUCCUUGGUCCACUUCCCAUUUUCAUCUAGUAUCCCUUAAAUUAUGUUCUUCUCAUUUUCAUCUACUGCCCCCUAAAUUAUGUUCUUCUCAUUUUCAUCUAGUGCCCCCUAAAUUAUGUUCUUCCCAUUUUCAUCUAGAAUCUCCUAAAUUUUGUUCUUUGUUUUCCUCAUUGAGGAUUGAGAAUGAAAGAAUUUUGUGUUUUUAUCCGCUUCUUUCAACUGAUCUGCUCUUGAUCUUUGUUUCCAAAAAAAUUCCUCAUCCAAAAGAAUAUUGUCAAUCUGCCUCUUUGUUUUCUUUAGUUCAUCUCCACAUUCAUAGUGGCUAAAAUCUUGUCUAAUCAUUUUGAGCUUGUUCUUAAGUUGUUCUAAUUGCUUUUGUCGACCUCCAAACUCCUCUUUACUCUACAAGUGAAAUUCUCCUAUUGACUCAUUGGCUUUCUUCUUAAAUAAAUCAACUGAAUUCUCUAUCUACUCUUUUCUUUCCAUUCUUGUUGAACUUUCUCUACAUCUCUUAUAUGCGCUACACAUAUCUUCAUAGCGUACUCUAUAAAAAGCUUUCAUUUUGUACCUUUGUCCCUUGUUUUUUUCCAACUUACUAAGGGGUUAAUCAUACAUCCCUUGAUAUUACUUAAUUGUAUGCAGGUGGCAAAAUACUAAUUACUUCUAUCUUGAAGGGUAAAAUUCAAAUCCUCCACCAGCACUCAUUCCUCUCUUAUAGAAUAACUUAAAAAAUAAAUAUCCCUUAAUUCCAAGUAAUGCUCAACAAAAUCCUAGAGUUCUAUUUUUAAUUAUAUAGUUUAACAGAACCUUGAUCUCUUCUUUAUUGAUGUGAGUAGAGUUUGAACUCAUGAUCUCUUAUUUUCACGUAAGAAAUUUCACCGUGUCAAUUAGAUGACACCACAUCAACCAAGGAGUGAGUGUAAAAAAAGUGGAAAAAUUUUGUCUAUUAAUUGAUGUAUUUUCAUUUGAGUUUUGCUAUUUACCCCGAGUCAAACCCCAAAGCCAUUAAACGACGCCGUUUCAAUUCUUUUUUUUUUUCCUUUCAUUUUCACUAAAACGACGUCGUUUUAGCUUGGUUAAGGUAGCAACGACUGCCCCAAAUUGCUCAAUUGGAUCAGUUCAUACUUCAUAAUGCAGGAAAACUAUAAAAGAAUUCUUCAACAAGAAAAAAGCUCAAAUGAUUUAAAAAUUUCUGCAUCCUUCUGGGUUUCUUAAACCUCUCCGACAAACUCAAAAAUCAUAAAGGAAAAUCAGACAAAGUUAAAUAAAAAAUAUGUUGAAGAACUUCACAAAAUUUACAGGUUCUGCUUUGACCACUGUGAUUGUUCUUGCUUCUAAGAAUAAUGAUACUACAUUUUGAUUAUAGUUGUUGUACUAUGCUUCCAGAAAUUAUUUGUCCAUAAGUUUCACUUAUGAUCUGCUUGGGGAUUUCAGAUAGUUCUCUUAGCCCAAGCUCUUUUUGUAUAGAGUGAGAAAAACUUAGAUAAAAUACACAUGUAAUAUUGAUAUCUUAUUAAACUGCUAACUAGGUUUUCAUGCAAGUAUCAUUUACCAAUGACAAUGAUACUAGUUGUGAAACGAAGGGGAAGAAAGUAGUGGUUUUACAUAGAAAUAGAAGGAGAAUAGCUGUGGUGAGAGUAAGACGAAGAGGAGAGAAAACAAUUUGGGGUAACGAGCAAUUCGGGGCUGUCGUUGCUGAAUGAAAGCCAAAAAAAAGUAAUGGUUUGAAACGGCGUCGCUUAUGGGCUUCGGGGUUUGACUCGGGUAAACAACAUUUUCGUAAAUGAUAACUAUCCAUAGACAAAAGUGCCGGUGAGUCAAAAGAAUUUGAAAGUGCUUUGAAGUAAAACUGACACAGGGUUUUAGUAAACGAAAAUGGCAGGGAUGAUGUCUUCUUCUCUUCGCAGGUCAAUCGCUCCCACCAAUAGUCUCUCUUUAUUGCGAAAACCCCAUCUCCUCCUUCAAAGCUUCUACUCAUCAAAAUCAUCGCCCGCCUUCUCUUCAUCACCAGAAACCCUCAACGACGAAAACGACGCCGUUCCCACUUCCGGCAUAAGCCGUCCUUUGUCCGAGAUUCUCAAAGAACUCAACAAAAACGUCCCAAAUUCACUCAUUAAAAUCCGAGUUGAAGAUGGGUUUUCGAUGAAGUAUAUACCUUGGUAAAUCACAUAAUCUCAACCGUCCACCCCCAUCAAUGUUCCAAUUUUUAUUUUUUAAAUUUUUUUUUCAACUUUUAUUUUGCAGGCAUAUUGUGAAUCGGAUUAUGAACUUGCAUGCUCCUGGUGAGUAAAUUGUUCUUUAAAUUUCUUACUUUUAUUUAAAUGGAAAAGAAAAGUUAGAUUUUGAAGUAAAAUGAAUAUGAUGAUGUGUUUAUUACAGAAUGGUCUGGUGAAGUUCGAAACAUUACUUAUUCUGCUGAUGGAAAGACUGUGUCUGUUGUGUAUCGUGUUACGAUUUAUGGGACUGAUGCUGAGGUAACUUCUAAUUCUGUAAACAUUUUGUUGCUAAUUGAGAACAUGUUAAAGAGUAGUUUGGGUAGCAAGUUGAAUUUAAUCGGUGAAACAAAUAUUGUCUAGCCUUUUAUGCGUGGUUUUUGUGGUUUAUGAUACUUUGCUGUUUACGGUUUUCAUUAUUAUACAUAUUAUAUGUCUUUGUGUGCCCUGUCCGAGGCUUGAAGAUUUUCUAGGAUUUUACCGAAUCAAAAUUGGACUUUUAAGAUAUUAAAAAAAUAGUCUACAAAGGUCACAGUUGUCAAGAACCUGCAAUAAGUUGAAAGUUAUGAAUUUAUUCGUAUUACAAUAUUUUGAUUUAGUUUGCUAGUUGUAUACCUUUGGAAAGCUUUGUGAGUUAGAAGAACAAUGAAUUUUACUGUGGUCAAUUUUGAGUUCUCUACAUAAAGAUAUAGCUAAAUGAAUAUAAAUUGUCCAGAAGUACUAUAACAACUAAUUAAGAAGCAAAAUAUAUUUUUGCUUCUUUCUUUCAGCUACUUUAGAGCUAGGGGCACAAUUUGAGUUGAUUUGAGUUCUUAAAUGAUAAAGAUUAUAUCUUGGGCUUGGAAGGAUGUUCUAAGGUUAUUUGUAUGAUGAUAUGAGGUAGAAACUUUAGAUUGUAAUUUGAGAAGAGUUCUCUUAUUAAGAGUUUCUUCAUUUAAUUAUAUAUCUCUUAGGUGAAUUUCUUAAAGGGAUGAGUUAGGAAACCAUAUAUAUCUCUUGUAGAGUUCUUUGAGUAAGGAGCUUUUCAAGGAAGCCAUGUUUCUCUUGUAAGAUUCCUUGGGUCCAGAGUGUUCAUAAUCUAGGACUCUCUCAAUUGAGUGAAGCCAAUCUAGAAAUUUGUUUGUAUCCUUCCUCCAAAUUCUGAAAUAUCGACCUUGAUAUCAAAGGAUCGCUAUGUUUGUUGUGCCUUUGAUUUUGGGAACGAGUAGUGGAGCCACUUGUAGAGUGUUGAUCAUUUUGAAAAGGGUUUGAAACCAUAUCCAUUAUCGUUUGAAGAAGGAACAGCCUUGAGUUGCUUCAAGUUGUUGGGACGUUAAUAGUUGUUGCAUUUGUCUUCUUAGAUUUCUUUUUCAUCAUAGGGCUUUUUCACCACUAUAAGGAAUCUACCUAAGAGAUACAAAGUUAAAAUGUAGAAAACCUUAAUAAGAGAACUAAUUUAUAUAUAUAUAUCCCUCCAACCAUAUCAUUUUUAUCCUUUAGGAACUCAAUUCAAACUCAAAUUUGUGCCAUUAGUUGUAGAGUAGCUAGAAGAAAGAGCAAAAACAAGUCAGUUUGUACAAAUUAUUUUGCUUCUUAGUUAGUUGCUAUAGUAUUUUUGAACAGUUUAUAUUCAUUCAAUUAUAUUUUUAUGUAGAGAACUCCAAAGUGACCACCAUAAAAUUCAUUAAAUCGAAAUGUUGUAAUAGUAAAUUUAAAACUUUCAGCUUGAUAUAGGUUCUUGAUAGCUGUGACUUUUGUAGACUAUUUCUUGAAUAUCUUUAAAAAGGGAAGGCCAAACUUAAUUCUGUAAAUCCCAAAAAACUAGGCACAUUUAUCUAUCCAACCAUAUACAGUAUGUAAUGUAGCACAUUCUAGAUGAGUUUAGUUAAUUCAUGCUAGUUGACUGAUAAUCUUAGACUUGGUUGCCUUUGUUGACUAGCUCAUCCCAGUAUUUCCAUACAAUUUUAUUGUCGAUUUUCAAACUUAGAAAUCUGAAAACACUUUUGUGUUAUCAAGUCAGUUUUCAUUGCUUCUACUCCUGUAAUUUUCAUGUUAUCUUUUCCCCGUUUCAUAUUUUUCCACUUUGCGCAAAUUACCUUUUUUUUUUUGGGGGGGGGGGUUGGAGAAUCCGUUAUUCUAUAGAGGACAUAACUAAACCAUCUUAUGUAAGCUUCCCUUAUCUUGGUAAGUUUCACUUUUUUGCUUAGGAAGGACAUUUAUUUCUAGUACUUGAUCGUAUUCACACACAUCCAUUUUAGUGCUUCAUUUGACCUGCGUGCAAAUGUUGAAAGUGGUUUUUUUGACCGUCCAAUACCCUAUUAUGGCAUAUGACACGCGGCCAACUUCAUAAACAUUUUACAAAAUGUCCCUAACAACUAAAUGGAUAUUGUAUGGUCAUGUAAUACUCUGUCCACACUCCUCCAUGUAAGAUUGGCUGCUAAUUCUGCUAGUUCUUAGUGAAACUGAAGCGUCGGAGGUUCUGGUCUGAUGUUUGUAAAUCCACCUUCUAUUCAUGCAUUCAUGUAAUCUAUGGCACCGUGGACUCCAAGAACAUGUGUUUUUGCAUUUGCACCCUCAAAUGCAGUAGCAUUUGUUUGUGGAGAUGCUUUAGAAGAGUGGAUGAGUAGUUAUCUUGAAUAGUGAGACCGAGGAAGAGUGUGAAUUAUUAGGAUGCCUGCAACCUGUGCGGUGAUGUGAGCUCUAGAGUUCUUGUCUUUGGUUGGAAUUUUGUAAACUCAGUGAAAUGCAAAUUAUACUUAUGUGAGCCGAAUGGAGGACUAAUUUUGACACAAAUUUUAAUUAAUUGUAUUGAGAAGUUAGCAUCCUAAAAAUCUUUUGGGCUUUUCUAAGAUGGUCUUCAAGCUGCUGAUAUAGAGUUGGCAGCUAAAUGGUUGACUUUCAGAUCUAAAUGCCUCUAAAGUUAGGAUGUUAAACCACUCAACUAACCAGUAGUAGCCUUUUUGCUACUAGUGAGCCUGGCUUGCCCCUACGAGCUACAAUGAUUGGCUUUUAGAUAUGGAAUGAUACUUGGCUAUUGCAUUGAUUUUGUGAAUAUGAGUUAGGAGCUUGGCAUGUAUAACAGAAUCUGCUGUAGAGGUGCAUUGCUACGAUUGGAAGGAGGAGCAUUGUUUCACUAGUGGUUAGGUGAGAUAAAGAUUGAGUGUAGUAGAGUAACGGGAAAUGGUUCUAACUAAAUUAUUUUCCAUGAAAUUAUUUUAUCUUCUUUACAAUGGCAAGAGUACUUGCCCAAAAGCAGAUGGUUAUAAAAUUUUAUAGACAAUAGCUUGCGAUAAAUAUAAUCAAGAAUUAACUUACUUAAAUGCCAUUUUUUUCGUUUAUUUUGCUCCACAAGAUAUUUAGGGAGUCAACAGGAACUGCUUUAGUGGAUGAACAAGGUUAUGGAGAUGCUGUACAAAAGGCAGAAGCUAUGGCAUUUCGCCGAGCUUGUGCACGUUUUGGCCUCGGGCUUCAUCUCUACCAUGAAGAUUUAUUGUAAGCUGACAUGGAGCUUCUAUAUGGUAAAAUGGUAGGACAAAAUAUUUUGAUGGGGCUCAGAUCAUUUUUGUUAUCGUUAUUGAUUGUGCCCGAGCAUCUUAGAUUUCUUGUGAAUUGGAAGAAAAAUUUGGAUGCUUGUAAGAACAAUUAUCUUUGAAGAAUCACUUAAUUUGUGUGAAGCCGGUCUUUUGAGGUAAUGUUAAUUCAAGAGCAUGAGUAUGAUGAGUCUAGAUGGGAUUCAAAGUUCCAAUUUUAAUUAAGUGAUAUUAGUGGUAAUUAUGGUUUGCGAUAGUCAUUAUUUUUAUGACUUUUUUUUUUUUUGGUAUUUUUGCUUUGCAAAACUAUAAAUAAAUGAACAAAGAUGGUAUAUCUUACAAAUAGUUAUCUAGAUAUAUACAAAAUUCAACUCGUUAAAAAGUUUGCAAUUGAUGUAACAUAUAAAUUUUUAUUUUAUGGUUUUAUUUAUAAAAACUUUAUGAAGACACUAUUAAAUCUUCAGAAUUUUGGAAUUAAUUCUUGGAUAAAUUGACUUCCAUCAUUUGUUUGGUCCUCUCAAUUCGGUGGCCCAAUACUAUUUUGAGGAUUCCAAACACUCUCAUCACCGGUCCUCCUAAUCGUGUGGCCCAAUUCUAAUUUGAGUUACAUAAGAAAUGCAAGCAACCUUCGGUUGUGUAAUCGAUCGGAAUUCGGGACGUAUUUUUUAUGUUGAUUUAUUAUUUGGUACAGAAUUCGAUGAUACAUUUCAAUGCCAAUUGUAUGAUCGGAAUCGAAUCGUUUUGUUGCCAUCCCGAAUAGACCCACCUUAGAUUACAUUUAAUUGGUCCAAUUUAAAGAUUACAAAAUUUAUCUUUUUCCUAAUAAAAUGAGUGAGUUUAGAUUUUAAUAAAAAAAAUCAAAAUUCAACUUUAGAAUAUGAAAAAAAAAAAAUCUCCACCCAACUGAAUCAACAUUUAUUAAGUCAAAUCUCCAAACGAUAGGCCAAUUGAUUUGCCGCAGUGGAAGCAAAAUUCAAAUUUCAAAGGUAUAUGUUUUAUUUAGGAUAAGGAUUGGGAGUAAUAAAUGGUAACUAAUAAAACUUGUAUCAAUAAAAUCGUCAAUAAAAGUUAUAAGGUCUUGUAAUGAAGGAAAAGGAUCCUGAUAUGAUCUCUUAUGAGUUUUUUGAGAUCUUCUGUCAUGUGUCUUUUAGUGAUAAUAUAUAGAUAAGAUUCAACUUCUUUUUAUUUAUUUAUUAACUAUCAAUCAGUAAUUAAAUUAUUUGCUCAGGACAUGAUCAGAUCAGGAGAGAAUCUUGAUCCUGUAAUGAAAACUCCAUCUAAGAUAAUUUUAUUUUGGGAGUGAAAGUGUAAAAUAUUACAAGUGGCUAUUAACAACUACUUAAUUGAAUUAGUUGACACUUUAUCUUAACAUGGUUAAAGUAAGAGGGAUUACCCUUCACGUAGCUGUGUAAAAAUCUAUUUUGACUUUUAGUAUUAUACAUCUAUUUAUACUAUACAUAUAUUAAAAAAAAAAUCUCCAAGGAUGUAGUUGAGUGAUUUUUAAGUAAUUUUAUUUGGUUUGUCCUCCGAAUUCGAAUCUUGAGAGAGGUAAGGGCUUAAAAAUGAAAUUUAAUUUUACUAACCUAAUUACAUUGAAUUUUAAAGUGUGGAAACGUAUGAGAAAACAUAUAAACCGUACGGUUUAAGCGCUUUAAGUUUUAAACCUUCAAAACCCGACGGUUUUAAAGUUUUUUUAGACGUUUCCUAUACUUUGUGGUCCCAGACCAGAAAACUUCUAUAUAUAUACACACACUAUCUCACCAUACUUAUCAAAUCUUUAAAUUAACUAAUUAUGCCAAUGAAAUUUCAAAUUAAUUGAACCAAAAGUAAUAAUCAUAUAAAGAAAACACCUAAAUUAAUAAUCUUGGAUUUUUUAAAAAAAGAAAUAAUAAUGAAAAUGAAAAUUAUGUUUUGGGACACAGCAACAGAAGGGGGAGGUGGCUGGUCAGGCAGACGCAUGUGAGUGAAACUGAAUUGGCAGUGGGCCCCACACAGCGUGAGUCGCUUUCUUUACCAUCUGCAGUCAAACAAGUUGGAGACAGCUGCCAGAUAAGAAGCAGCAAGCAGUAAUCGACUUUUGCUUUUCGUUUUUGGUUUUGAUCCACCACACUUCACGAGUAUGUACAUCCUCUUCAGAACUUUCCUCAUUCUCAACCGUCCGAUCUUCAUCGUCCGAUAGUUGCUAAUGUCACUAUCAAAUGCCUAAUUUUGAUUUUUUUUACUAUUUUAAACCUCUCGGUUCGUAUCGUAUGAUUGAAGGGAGUUUCUGGUGGGCCUAUAAAAGGGGCCCAAUAGAUUUUUCUAAAUUCUAAUUAUUCCAAAUUUGCCCUUCCUUCAUACCUCAAGUUUCAUCAUUGCCAUUCCGUUCCCUCCCAACCAACGGUGUUACUUUCUUGACAGCAUGUACCAUAAACUAAAUGUCAUUGCCCUAAACUUACUCGUCAAUGGUGUUUAACAAGUUAUUAGUAAUUAUGGGUGCUUUUUUCUUAACAGCCCAUCGCAUUAUGCUACAUAUCCAUAAUAUUUAAGACAUAUCUCCCUUCAAGACAAUAUAGAGAAGGGUAAAAGCUCGUUUAAUCUACAUAUUUUGAAGUUAAUGUUUAUUUAGUUCAUGUAUUAUUGAAAAUGCCUUAAAACAUUCUUGUUAUUAAAUUAUUGACACUUCUGCCAUUAUUUUUUUUUUAUUUUAGCUUCAUUGUACAAUAUUACCAUUUUACAAUAAUGUUUCUAUUUUUUUACAUUAAUAAAGAAAAUUAAAUUAUCAUUUUAACCCCAAAAUAAAAUAGAAAAAAAUAUAUUAAAUUUUUUUGGAACACUCCGUUGAGGAGUUAAUAUCUUAAUUUUCUAUUAAUCUCCAAAAAAAUUGGUAAUUUAAUUUUUUUUACACUAUUAAUUUUUUUUAGACAUACAUGAGCUUCCACCAAAAUUAAUAUAUGUUAUUUUUAUUUUUAUUAUAUAUAUGGGGUUAAAUUAGUAUUUUAUUUAUUAAUUUCUAAAAAACAAACAUUAUUAUAAGAAGCUAAUAUUGUAAAAUCAAGUCAAAAUAAAUAAAAAGUAAUGACAAAGAUAUCAAUAGUUUAAAUAUAGUGAUGUUUUUAGUUAUUUUUAUAAAUACAAGGAGUAUACAAGCAUUAACCUUAUAAUACAGGGGCUAAACGAACUUUUACCCUAUGGAGAAAAACAUUCAUGUGCACAUACUUAACAAAUGUGUUACUCACUUAAAACACCUUUCAUUAUAGCCAUUACAAUUAUUUUACAACUCAGAUGGUCUAAAAGAUUAGUAAGUUAGUUGUUUCAUAUAUAAUUUUUUUUUUUUUUUGGAAAUAUCUCUAUUCACAAUCGUCAUGAGCUAAGAUUCAUUCUGUCAUUAAUUAUACAUCAAGUUUUUUACGAUGUAUUCUAUAGAAAAUUGUAGAAUAUUCCUUUAACUUCUCUAUCUCAAUUUUUCUCUGAUCAAAUGUUUACUUGAGCAUUAGAGUAUUUUCUACAGGUACUACAUUUAAGAGUUCAAUAGUAGCAAAAAGUGUGAGAAGAUUUAGCAAGAGAAAAGAACGGGCAUCAAAUGAUCCUGGAUCUAACAAUAAUGCUUUCAAUUCUUUUCCAUCCAGCAAAGAUUUGGAUAUUACGUUAAUUUAUGUAUCACUGAAAGGUUGCUGGUGAGAAGUCUAAUAAGCUCAACACACAAAAACCUUAGAACAUCAAGAUCUAAUAGGAAAAAAAGGGAACAUAAUUGGUGGAUACUAAUUGCUUCGUUUGAUAUGCUUUGACAUUUAUGGAUUCUGCUUAAAUUAUAAGUAACAUCUUGGAUUUCAAAUGAAAAAAAAAAAAGAGAGAGUAUAUUUUAAGAUGAACAAACACACCCAUUUUCUUCUUUCAACAUAUUUUUUUUCUCUCUCUCUCUCUCUCUCUUAUUUUCUCAGUUUCCAAACUAAUUUGAGUGCUGGAUUGCCGUUGUAGGUACUACCACUACUGCGACGGUGCAUAGACAAGUUAAACAUUUCCCAGCAUUCGGAGGUAAUAAACACCUUCGACAAGAAAGUUUCUCAAAUUAGGUUUGCUUAUAUUGAGGUAAUUAAAGUUCAAUACUGACAAAAGAAGUCUGAAUACUUGUAAAGGAAUAUAUAGAACCAACCCUCUUUGUAGGCAGCUAGGCAGAGAAAUUAAUGCAAGUAAAGAAUUGCAACUAUGCAAAUGCUGUAAAUAAUGGUAUUGUUAAACGUUUACAACGAUAAAUUCAUUACAAGACAUAAGCAAAUGAGAUCGGAGAGCUCACCGUCUAACUAUAUAUUAAAGAAACGUACCAAAACAACAAUAAUUGUACAAUCAAUCUCAAAUUAAAACAAAUAACAAAACCAAUAUCAAACCAAUACAGCCAUGCAACCAUCAGAUACUUGUCAAAACUGAUCCCACAAACAAGACCAUCGCCAAACUCAAAACACAAUAGCAAAUCUACACAAGAUUAUAGAGAGAGUGGAGGGAAAAUUGAAAUCUUAUUCAUGGUGAAAUCAAAUUAUUUGAAACAGAGUUUUGUAUUCAUGGCUCAUAAAAUAAUUGCUUUAUUUUUUUUAAAAUGAAAUCUAUGGGACUCAACCAUAUGGACAUAUAGACUUAGAUGUAUGCAAAUGAUACAAAGAUGGACCUUAGUAGAAUUGCAAUCCACAUGUCGCCAUCAAUUAAAAUGGAUAGUUGUGCAAAUUAAUCACAUUUAUAGUUAUUGAAAGGUUAAUUAGCUUAGGCUCGACUUAACUUGGGCGAUUCUGAGACUCAUUCCAACAACCAGACAGUUAAGAUCAUUUCGAUCAGCAUGCGCUACAGAAAGGAUAAAAUAUUAAAUUUGAUUAUUUUAAUUAAGUGGUGCAAGAAAAUUCAGAUGAUAUGUGCCAAUCAACAUGUCUAAUGGCCUUAUGAUUAUCUAAUUUUUCAAUACAAUAUUGGACAUGAUAUAUAAAUGUUUUAGUUUGAGAUCACUUAUUCUUAUUCUCUAUCCAUGUGAUACCUCAAUACAGUUUUCAAAGAUACAAUUGCAGUUGGUAGCUUCUUUUGUGACCAGAUAAUAGGUCAACUUCUACAUAUUUUUAAUUAAUAUUAGAAGUUUAAUAUCUAAUAUGUAUUUGGAUAUAUACAAUAAGACAAUUUUGUAUGACAAAUUUUUCUUUUCUUUAUUCAAUCUAUUUUUUUUUAAAAUGUAGUUGGAUGAAGGGGAGAAAUCUCACCUAUUAAAUACUAAUCCUUACAUCCAAUUUUUAUUCAAGCUUGAGUGAUUUCAGUUCAAAAUUCCUUCAUGACCAAAAGGGGUAACUUCAGCACUAGGCUAACUAGGUGUUCGUCUAAGGCAUUAUUUUGACAUUUAUUUAAUUAAUAUGCUAACGAACAAUUAUUCUUUUUAGAUUUCAAAUAUUUUAUUUAAGUUACGUAUAUAAGAAAGCCUAAUUUUUAGAUAUUUCUUUAUUAUUACUCCCAUUCAUAAUUAUCUAAAAAUUAAGAUUUGUUUUCUUAAUAAAAAUUCUAUAUUUAAUAAUUUUCACCUUAAAAAUAAGAUUUAUUUUUCUGUAAAAAUUUCAUAUUUGAUAAUCUUCACAUAUACUAGAAUUACUGGUUUUACCAGUUAAUUAUUUACUCUAUUAAAACUGACUUUUAGUAGUCCUUAAUUUAAACUCUAUUAAAAACUUCAAAAUGAAUAGAUAUCGAAUCAACAAUAAUCUCAGCAAAAAUAUUUCUUGCUCUCUUCCCUAAAAUGAAAUUAUUCUAUUAACUUUCCUGGUGCUAAUGUUCUAAAAUAUAUUUGAACUUAUUAUUGUCCUUCUUUAAAUAAAUUUAAUUUUUUAUUUUUUAUAUUGAUACAUGGCUUGUAUAAUCUAAAAAAAAUAAUUAAAUUUUAGUAAUUUUUUGUUUCGAGUUACUGUUGUUGAAUGUAGCAAGGCUUUAAAAAAAAAAAAAAAAAAAAAAAAAACAUCGUUUGAGCCCCAAAUCCCUUUGAGCCAGCCCUGAUGACCAAUUAGCUACACCCUGGACUAAAGCCAUCCAGUCUAUUUUCUAACAGCUAUACAUUUGUACAUACUUUUGUUAUUAUUCUGCACAUUAGAGUUGACGAGAAGCUUAAAAAUAAGAACAACUUUUUUCUCGCUUAUUAUGUUUUAUUUUUAAAACUCAUUUUAAUUCGUAAGUAUUUUUAAAUUUGUAUAAAGAUAAUGUUAUAAAGAGUAAGAUGUAUUAUGUCUUCCCCGAUGACUAAAUACAUUUUUGUUCUAAUACAAAAAAAAAAAAAAAAAUCUUUUUGAUCAUGUCAUUGAAACUUUUCUAUUAAAAAAAAAGGAACAAAAUGAAAGACAAUAAUAAUUUCGAAGAAGCAGAAGCCCAAAUUUGACUUUGAUGUGUCGUUGCAGCUGGUUUUUUUUUUUUUUUUUUUUAAUUUUUUCUCAAACCCUUUCGGCAAAAGCCAAUUUUAGCGAGCCACGUUAGUGGCUUUGCUUUUUAAUUUCUAAAUUGAAUUGGUAAUGGCUGCUUCAUAAGUUUGUUUCUUCUCUCAUGAGUCCAAUUAUUCUUCUUGAAUCAUUAUUUAUCGUAUUGUUUUCGCUCUACUGCUGAAAAAUAUUAGGAUUAAGUUCUCGGAAGAUUUUUUUUUUUUUGGGUCAAUUCAAUUGGAGUCAUAUUUAUUUACUAUAUUAUAAAUAGGGAAGUGGUUAAUAUUAAUUUUUAAGGUAACUUUUUAUUAUUAUCAAUGCAUUGAAGGAAACAAAACGAUGGAAUGCUUACCCAAGAAAAUGAAUCUUUAGUAUAGAAUUUUGCUCCAAUUAAGAUUAGAAUAAAGUUUUGAUUUAUUUUUAAUAGUCUAAUAGUAACUCAAUUCUCUCUCUACGAUCAAUGUGAGUGGGAAUCCAAAUCUCUUGUUUUCAUAGAAGAGAUUUAAUCAACUGAAUUAGACGGUACUCAAAGGAUAAGAUUUGAUUUAUAGAUUCAUAGUAUAAAAAUGAAAGUCCAAACGAAAAUAAUUUUAUAACUUUGCAGGGUACAAACAUAAUAAUUACUUUUGAUAAUAAAAUUGGAAAAAGACAACUAACCCAAUACUCUAUUGAUUAAGACAAUUCUCACCACAAUAAUUUAUUUAUUUAUUUAUUUAAAAAUAAAGAAUGAAACAAAACAGAAAAUGCGAAAGAUAUUAGGGAUAAGAGAUACAGAGAAUCAUCAACUUUACAUAUAAGCAAUUCGAUCGUUGACCGUUGACCUCCCGCGUGAUUUCAUCCCCUCAUUAGUAGUUUCCCUCCGUUUUCAUAAUUUUUCCGUGCCGUUUUUGCCACUACGGACCUUUGCCCCAGGCAGCCUAAUUUCGAAUGGUAAUUUCGUAAUUAUUGCAACAAUACUUGCCCUAGUUUGUCAUUCUGAAUGUGGCCUUAAAAUAAUAGAAAGUACAGCGACGACAAACAUGAUAAUACGUCAGAAACCACUCCCACGCUCACUUCGCCGCGGUGCAGAUUCAAAAUUGGAAAGGGAUAAUCUCAUGGAGUACCCUUAAUAUUUGUUAAAAUUUCUAAGCGGAGAAGAGUGAAAAUAUGUAAUGAAAGCCCCUAUUCAUCCAAUUAGUUAAUGUCGUUGACUGAAUAAUUUUUAUAAAUUUAAAAUCAUUAAAUAGUUAACAUUUUUCUUAUAUUUAUUGGUGGUAAGAGAUCUUAAUGCUCAUUUAAUAUAUAUUUCUUAACUGAUUAAAAUCUUUUUUCUAAUGUCAAAAAUUCUUAUUUUUUUUAGUUGCCAUAUAUAUUAUGUUCGCUAUAUAACCAAUUAUUAAAUGAUCUAUAAUCUAUCUUUAAAAAAUCCUUAUUUGUGAAAAUUCUAUGUGUAAAAUCUUUAUUUCUAAGAAAAAUGAUAUUAAACGAAUCUAAUUUAUUUUUUAAAAGAAUAUAUUGGUGGAAUGAGAAAUUUUUCACCCACUGAACACCGACCAUUUCUCCUUAUAUAUUAAUUUAGAAUUGGGAUAAGAAUAUGUGUAAAUCCAAUACACUCUACUUGUUACUCCUUAUUAUUUAUAAUUGAGGUAACAACAAGUAUAAAACUCGUUUAUGAUCAGGCAAUCAAGCUACGUGUAACAUCAUACCAAACAGAUCUCUAUUAAAUAUUUUUACUCUUUUUAUGUGUUUGAUAUUUUGAUAAACCUUUGGGCAUUUAAGAAAACUUUCCUAGAAAGGAAAAGACAAUAGCAUAUAUAUAUAUAUAUAUAUAGUAAUAAUAAGACGUCAUAAAGGCGCGUGAAAGAAUGAAUUGAUGAGGUGGGGGCAAGUUGUGUAUAUAAUUCAUGUCCGUAUUAUGAGUUGGUCUUUGCUUUGCUUUGCUUUGCUUUUUUAUUUUUACAACUUUUGCUUUCUCUUCUCUUCAUUCAAUUCCCUCCCAUUUCUCUUUCUCUCUUAACCUAAUUAUCUCUCUCUCUCUCUUUUGAGUUUUGAUCACAAACCGCAAACAGUUUCCAUCAUCAAGUGGGUCUUUUGUUUACAUCUCUAAUACUAUAGAUCCAAUAUUGAUCUAUACUUGGACAACAAGGCCCCUAUAUCUAGCUAGCUAGCCCUAAUAAUCCCACCAAAAUAUAUAUAUCCCAUUUUUUUCUCUGUUCAGCUGAUUUUUUUUUUCUUUCAUUAGAGAAGAUCAGUAAAUAUAUAUCAUCAAGCUAGCAAGAGCAACAAAAGAAGAAGAGAAGAUGAUGACUCCAGUUUCAGCACAAGCAGCGGCAGCAGGAGCAGGUCAGUUUGGUGACACGACAUACACAAAAGUAUUUGUAGGAGGCUUGGCAUGGGAGACUCAGAAGGAGACCAUGGAGAAGUAUUUUGAGCAGUUUGGUGAGAUCUUGGAAGCAGUUGUUAUCACUGAUAAGGCCACUGGCAGAUCCAAAGGAUAUGGAUUCGUAUGUUAAUUAGCAGCUGCUUCAUCUUCUGAAUUUCUUUACUCUCGUCACACUGGUUUACAUGCAUGAUGAUCCUUGUUUUGAUCACUAGAUCUUGAUUCUAAUGAAAGAUCUCGACAACUUUUUUUGAAAAAAAAAAAUUAUAUGACGCGAGAACAUAUUAGUUCUGUGUUAUUUUAUGUAUGUAUGCAUGUGUGUAUAAACGUAUGUAAAUGUGUAUAUAAAUGUGUUUGUUGCCAUUUUAGGUGACUUUCCGCGAACCGGAAGCCGCCAUGAAAGCCUGUGUUGAUGCAGCUCCGGUGAUAGAUGGAAGGAGGGCUAAUUGCAAUCUUGCUUGUUUGGGAGUUCAGAGAUCGAAGCCCUCAACACCAAAACAUGGUAAAAUUAAUAACUCGUUUUUCUUUUCUUUUUUUUGUUUCAUUUUUUUGAUGACAUAUUCAAAAUGAAGAUAGGGUUUUGAUUGAUAUAUCAGAUCUCGUAAAAGUUUCAUGAAAUCUUUCAAGUCUUUCAUUAAGUCACUGUUGGAUAUUCGCUGCUGGCUCUAGUUAAUUCUAUUCCAAUUAAUCUUCUACAAAUUUUGUAUUUUAAAAACAAAAAAAAAAAAAUUUUUGUGGGUUCAAAAGUACUCUCUUAUCAGCAGAACACAAUUUCAAAGUCAAAUCCAGCCCUUGAAUAUUCCUCCAAAUUUAGAAAGUUUUUAUGUUUUAUCAGCCUUAUUGUACAAACAUUCUUUCAGUUUCAGCAAACAAAAACAGCAGUCUGCAUUCUGCAAUAUACAUAAGAAGCAUUCAUAACACACACACACACACACACACACACACACAGAGAGAUAUAUCUUUUUUUCUUUUUUCUUUUCAAAUAGAUUUUAUUAAUUGAUUUAGAUGAAAGAAUGAGAUAGUAAUUAAAAAUGGUUAAUUUGGUGGGGGCAGGAGGAGGAGGAAGAAACAACUUGAGGUUAAUGAGUACUUUUCAGAACGGUGGAUUUGGAGGGACAACUUUUCCUUCAACUGCCGCUGCAACCUUCCCUCAUUAUGCCAUCCAACAAGGCAUUCCUUUUAAUCUCUAUGGGUAUAUUAUUUUUUUUUUCUUUUUAUAGAUUUCUUUUUUCUCACUCUCUCUCUCUCUCUCUCUCUUCUCCUUGUGCAUGUGUGUAUGAGAAGCUGCCUGCAUGCACGUGCAUUGCCAACUCACGAUGCACACUCAACUUCAACCCCAUUAAAACUUUAGGGUUUAAUGCCAACUCAAUAAGCACGCUCAUUCAUCAUCAUCAUUAUGAUCAUCAUCAUCAUCAUCAUCUCUCUCUCUCUCUCUCUCUCUCUUGUUGUCUUUUAUCAUCAUGGGAAUCACUAUCCAUGUUUUUUCUUACUUUUAAGCAUCAAUCAUGGACUCUCUCUAUCUCUUUCUUUCAUGUGUUAACAAAAACGAAGGCAUGCUCUUUCACCCAAAAAAAAAAAAAACGAAGGCAUGCAUAAUUGAAUGUGAAUAAUUAAUGCGGAAAUCAUGCAUGUGCAUAGUGCAUUGCGACAUUGGCGUGUGCUUUCUCUAAUUCAUUUCUUGUUACACAAUCUCAAAGCUUUUCUCAUUAUUUCAGGUACUCACCAUACUCAGCAGAUUACACUUAUCCUACGGUUUGCACAACCUUCCUUUUCCUUUUACCUUUAUUUUUGUACAAUAAGUGUACUUAAAUUCCAACAGCUCUUUUACAAAUAUUUAAAAAUAAAAAUAAAAAUCCAUCAAUAAUGACCACUCACCAACAACUGUUGACAUUUAAAGCUGCCAUGAGGAUGAGGUUGACUUGUUACCAAAUUUGUUGGAACAAGGUUUCCUUUAUUACUCUUUCAAUUAUGUUAGUAAUCAUAGUAGGUGAAUUUCUUAAUUCUUGAUAGAGCUCAUCUUAAAAAUAAUAAUAGCAUUGGCAUUUUUUAAUCUGAGUGGUUAAUAUAUUGAUAUGAAUGCUAGCUGGACUUGUAUUUCUAACUUAAUACGAAAAUGAUUUGGAUUAUGCAUUUUGUUUCCAUUUAUUUAUUUAUUUUGUAGUAGCCCUAGAUAAAUUGUAUGUAUAUGAAGAUUGAAGGUGCCUUAAAAAAAAGAGACAUGAAUAGCAAUUUUCUCAAAAAAGGACGAAGGUGGUCAAAUGGUGUACUUUUAAGUGAAUUUACAGCUGUGCUAGAUUAGCUUUGUCUCCUUUAUUCAAUAGAAUUUGCAGUUGUGGUCCAUUCUGUGUCACACUUUUACAGUCUUCCAAAAUUCCAUGGCUGUGACUGUAUUAUUUGUCUAUGACUAUUCGACCACCAAGAUAACAUUUUUCACUAUACUUAUUACCCAAAAAGAGUAAUGUUACAACACAUCUGGCUGUGUGUAUGUGAUGUCUGAAAAACUCUAUAUGCGAUAUAGAUGCAGCCGAAUACUGUAUCUUAAUAUUAAAUUGAACCGUAUCUUAAAAAACUCUAUACUUAAAUUGAAUUGUAACUUUAUGUAUGUAGGCAUUACGCAAAAUAUUAUUUCGAAUGACAAAGGCACAAAUUUUUACCUGAAUGCAAUAACUCAUUUUCACUUCACAUGUUAUAUGUCUCAUUUCACAAAACAAGGACAAAGUUUUGUUCAAAAGACCUAUAAUAUAUGAGUUUUGUAGUAGAUCUACUAACAUACAAAACAUGAACAAUAACUUGUUUGCAUUGAAUUUUUUUUUUUCAUUUUUUUCCUUUUGUUGCAGAGCUACUACAAUGUCUAUGGAGGGGCAGCUGCUCAGUAUCCCAUGUAUGGCAAUGGCCAUGCAGCAGGAGGGAUGAUGACCGGUGGAGCAGCCGCUGCCGCUGCCGCUGCUUACUACCCUUAUCUUCAAUUUGGAGAAGGAACCGGAGCAGCCACCACCGGCUACACUUCCGGCCAAGGCUACGGCGUCCAGUACCCACACCACCUGUUUCCAUACUCCACCAUCAAUGCCGCUGCCGGUUACCCGCAGCACUAUGGUCCCCCUAUGUCUAUUGCUCCUACACCUGCCUUGCAAUCAGGUUUGUACCAUAUGUACAAUUUUACUCUUUACGAUUCAUCUCUAAAAUUUUUUGAAGUUAACAAAUAGUAGUGUUUUUCUUUUUUUCCUCCUAGAAAUCAAGGUUUGGAAACACAUCAUCAAACACACUUUUAACUAUUUUCUAUUUUCAAAGUAAAAUAUAAAUGAUUUAUUGAGAAAUUACACCAUAAUAUGAGUAAUGUUAAACUCUAAAUUAUUUUGUUUAUAUUAUAUCUAUAGUUGAUUUACAUUCGUGUAUGUUUGAAAGAGAGUUACUAACAUCUUUGACAGUGUGUUUUGCUGUGCCACAGGCGUGACCAAUAUGGCUCUGCAUGCUCCACCAAUUCCACAUCGCUAGAGUCAAUGAAUCUCUCAAAUCAUUCUCCUUCAGUUUCAAAUAUGUAUUCAGCUGCAUGCAAUCUCUGAAGAAACAAAACCUUUGGCCUAACCAUGGUUCUCUCUUUCACCUCUCUCUCUAACACAAAAUGCCCAAUUUGCAUGGCAUCAAAUGGGCAUUUUUGCACACAAAAGCCCCCCAUAGGGGCUGGAAAACAAAAAAAACCCACCUCCAAAAAAAAAUUUGGAUGGUCAUGCAUCUUUUUUUUUUCGUAAAAGGGUUCCUUGAAAGAGAACCAAAAAGCUUUUUUGUACCAAAUUACCAACUCAAGCUGUUGUGGAUGAUCAGCUUGUAUUUGGGAACAGUUUAAUUUUCUGUAAAUCCUUAGCCCUGGAAAUGCUAAGUUGAAAAAAAAAUAUCAUUUUAUAACUUUAAUUUAGCCUAGGGAAAAGGCUAAUAAAAUGGAAACCGGUUUGCAAAAAUUGUAAAUUGAACAAAAAGAUAGCAAACCUCUGGUUUUAGAUAUGGCUAAUGAACCUCUGGAGAAAGAGGCAGUUUUAGCAAAAAUCAAAAGGGCAUGGGAUAUGCCCAAAGUUUUUUUUGUGCAUUAACAUGUAGUCUUAGGGUUUUAGAACUAGGACCAUGUAGCAACUAGGGCAGCAGUACUCAUGUUUUUAGAAGUUUUUUUUCCCCCAACUUUCACUUAAAUCUUACAUUUUUUUUUUUAAACCAACAAAUCAAUUUCUUCCCUUUGGGUAAGGGGAGAAAAUGUUUUACUAACACUUUUAGCUUAUUUUCGUUUCUUGUAAAUUCAUUGUGGCUAAAACUUUUGGAGUAUUAGCAACAAAACACUAAACUGUAGGAGGGUACAUUUUUAUUUGCAUUUAGUUACUUUUCAAGAACUCCAUCAAUGGAUGUGGAGCUCAAAUGCAUAUGCAUGCAUGUAAUCCUUGGGAUAUAUUUUGGUUCCCUUGGAUUCUUCUUUUCUAAUUAACCCCACCAACCAUGGUUAGGACUUAGGUCACAUCUCUCUCUCUCUUUUUCUCAAUCCCUCUAUUCUCUCUUUAUGAUCUCGGUUGAACUUUUACUUGGAGA
rnacentral:lncRNA from 1 species